ensembl:miRNA Mir344i microRNA 344i
ACAGGGCUUUUGCAAGUCAGGCUCCUGGCUGGAGUCCAGCUCUAAGCUGGAUCCAGGCUCUAGCCAGGGCUUGACUGCACUCUGCUCAAUAGAGAAGGG